CGCUGCCGCUGCUGCUGCUGUCGCGGCCACUGCCACGGCUGGUAGGUAACGACGUCUGCCUGCACCAGCACCCCCAGCUUCGGAAGGAGGAGGAAGACGCGGCGGCGGCCGCGGCGGGGAUGGCACCCAGGGAGAGAGUAAAUCCUUUGGGCUGCAUGCAGGGAAUGUGUGCUGAGGAGUGUCUGGAGGUAGGAGACUGGCUUCUGGGUAUGCCCUGGCUCGUUGACUGGGCUGCAGCUCUGAUCAGUGGCAUAACUAGAAGAGGGAGGCCCUGAGACACACAGUUGGCUGGGAAUUUGGCAUGGAGUCAGUGGAGUUUAUGAAGAAAGGCUGAGGCUGUGGGUCUGAUGCCAGAAAAUCAAGGUGAACACCAUGGUGGGCAGUUCAAGGGAAGGAAAUGGAGGGCUGGGAGACAGGACAACUGAAAUCCUUUCCCAGCCCACUCACUGCUUAGCAUAGAUGUCAGCUGUGGCUUCCAGGAGCGUGUGGCGCGCCACCCCCCCCCCCAACUGUCCCCAGAUAGAAACGGGUCACUAAACUAUCUGUAAUGAUGCCUG
rnacentral:lncRNA from 1 species